CGGGGCAGGGCGGAAGUGCUGGCGGGAGCGGCGCGGUGCCGGCGCAGGUUCUAUGUGAACCUCACAUAGGGCUAGGCUGCAAGAAGAUCAAGAAGGUAGGAUGUUGUCAAGACCAAAACCUGGGGAGUCUGAGGCAGACCUGCUGCACUUUCAAAACCAGUUCCUGGCAGCCAGAGCUUCACCUGCAGUGAAGAUUGUGAAGAAAGCAGAUAAGAGGAAGGGGGAGGAAGGGAGCAUAGAUGCUGAGAGACCCCCGCUACAGGACAGCAAAGAUGUAGUCAUGUUGGAUGGUUUUCCUGAUGUUCUCCCAGCUCUAACUCCAGCUCCUCCAAAAAAGUCCAAGAUCAAAAAUGCUUGUGUCCACUUUGAGGAUGAAGAUCCGGAGGAAACACUGGAGAGUCAUGAUCAACACAUUACAGCAGUCUUAAGCAAAA